rnacentral:rRNA from 1 species
GAAAGCUGGCGGCGUGCCUAAUACAUGCAAGUCGAACGAAACUUCUUUAUCACCGAGUGCUUGCACUCACCGAUAAAGAGUUGAGUGGCGAACGGGUGAGUAACACGUGGGCAACCUGCCCAAAAGAGGGGGAUAACACUUGGAAACAGGUGCUAAUACCGCAUAACCAUAGUUACCGCAUGGUAACUAUGUAAAAGGUGGCUAUGCUACCGCUUUUGGAUGGGCCCGCGGCGCAUUAGCUAGUUGGUGGGGUAAAGGCUUACCAAGGCAAUGAUGCGUAGCCGAACUGAGAGGUUGAUCGGCCACAUUGGGACUGAGACACGGCCCAAACUCCUACGGGAGGCAGCAGUAGGGAAUCUUCCACAAUGGGCGAAAGCCUGAUGGAGCAACGCCGCGUGGGUGAAGAAGGUCUUCGGAUCGUAAAACCCUGUUGUUAGAGAAGAAAGUGCGUGAGAGUAACUGUUCACGUUUCGACGGUAUCUAACCAGAAAGCCACGGCUAACUACGUGCCAGCAGCCGCGGUAACACGUAGGUGGCAAGCGUUAUCCGGAUUUAUUGGGCGUAAAGGGAACGCAGGCGGUCUUUUAAGUCUGAUGUGAAAGCCUUCGGCUUAACCGGAGUAGUGCAUUGGAAACUGGGAGACUUGAGUGCAGAAGAGGAGAGUGGAACUCCAUGUGUAGCGGUGAAAUGCGUAGAUAUAUGGAAGAACACCAGUGGCGAAAGCGGCUCUCUGGUCUGUAACUGACGCUGAGGUUCGAAAGCGUGGGUAGCAAACAGGAUUAGAUACCCUGGUAGUCCACGCCGUAAACGAUGAAUGCUAAGUGUUGGAGGGUUUCCGCCCUUCAGUGCUGCAGCUAACGCAAUAAGCAUUCCGCCUGGGGAGUACGACCGCAAGGUUGCAACUCAAAGGAAUUGACGGA